AGGAGUGUGGGGUCACGUGGGGGGUAGUGCGGGCGGUGGGAGGGAAAGGAGUGGCGACCGACCCCCGUGCAAGGAGGCGGAGCAGGGCUAAGACUGGCACCUCUGGGGUCCUGGCGUGAAUUCCUCUCCAUAUGGGGCUUGCAGCACUAGUUAGCAUCCUCCAGGGUUAAGUGGGUACAGGCGCAGCAUACCCAACCCUUCGGUUCAUUCAAACCAAAGCCACACAGGGUCAGGGGACCCUCUGCUGGCAGGUGGCAGAACUGGAAUCAGCCGGGCCCCAGCCCUUAGAGAUGCUCAAGAGGGCAGCCCGGGACACCGGGACAGGCCAAGGAAGCUGCCCGUGCCUGCCGCAUACCCACCAGCGCAUUGCCCUCUGCAAGAACAGGCGCCUGGAAGGCACAGAAAGAGGCUGGGGAGAGUGGGGAGGAAGGGACUGGGAACGGCAGGGAUCAUAAAGAGGCGCCAGGUAGGCAAAAAACAAUCCGUGAGAAAGUUUCUUGGUGGGCCCUGCUUUCCCACCUCUCCCCCACUUUCUGGAAGCAGGAAAGAAAGGGACUUAAAGCAGGGGAGAGCAGGGCUGAGGCGGGGCAGCCGCGGACACGCACCCGCACUGCAGCAGCUGGGCCGGGAAGGUCCUUCCACCCGGUCCUAGUGCCGCGGGGUCGCGGAUCGGGAGCGACCCCCCCAACCCCCCCCACCGCUGUCGGGUCUGAACCCCUCCUGGCGGCGCGGGCGGUUUCGAAGCCAGAGACUGGCGCCGAGGGCCGGGCCCCAGCGCCGAGGCCUGACCUUGCCCAAGUCCUCUGGGUCUUGGUCCCCCAGGUCCACCCUCUGGGUCGCUAAUGGUUGCUUCUACGCUCAGCUUCUCACCCAGUAAUCAGUUUGGAUUCAUCCCCAGAACUAGAAGGCAUUUUAUGAAAAUAAAGGAACAGGUGAAACAAUCAGCUAAGAAGGGUUCAGGACCCCACCCUGAAGGAGCACCCAGACACGUGACCUACGCGUGGAGGAUGAGGGAGGCCAUCGCAGCCUUCUGGCCACGUGCAACAUGUGCUUCCACCAGGCCAGUGUCCUUGAAAUGGCUCCGG